AGAUGCGGGGGCUGCAGCGGGUCUACCCGGCCCCCGCCUCCAAGAGGCCACCCCUGCUCCGCCCGGAGCGCAGUUACGCCUCGCCCAGCGACAACUCUUCGGCGGAGGAGGAGGACCCCGACGGCGAAGAGGAGCCGGGCACCGUGGGAGCCGCGGGAGGCUGCAAGAGAAAGCGGCCCCGUGGGGCUGACGCCAGCUGCUGCAGGAGGACCGCUACGAGGAUAGCUAUGUGCACCCCGUGAACCUGACGUGGCCAUUCGUGGUCUCUGGACGCCCAGACUCUGAUACCAAAGAUGUUUCUGCAGCCAACAGGCUUUGUGGAACUUCAGCUUAGAUGGACAGCAACACUGCUGGAUGGAUUGUGUUAAAUGCAAAGGACUGGGCCAAGGAAGUCCCAUCGAUUCCGGACCUUCUCCUUUCCCUGUGUUUGUGAACAAGACAGGUGACAAGUGUGGUUGCCCUCCUGGAACACAGGUGGCCAUG
rnacentral:lncRNA from 1 species